UGUGGGAACCCUGCAGCAGAUGCUGCUGGCCAGCCUGUGGGCUCAGGGCCAUUGGAAAUGCCAGUGCUCUUCCUUUUACACUGGGAUUCCUCUGAGCUUCUCUGGAGGAUGGGACUUGGGCUUUGCACAGGGAUCUAUCCCAGUUUUUCUAACAAAUUGCAAACAGGACCAGCAGUUUUGUGCAAGACUCUCAGUGCUGCUGAUAUGCAUUUCUACAGCUGCAAAAAAGCAAACAUAGUACAGGCAGGAAGAUGAAUGAACAAGCACUCGUCCAAAGGAAAGGCACAUCUUUCACCAGGGGUAAAUGAACCUCCAUUCCCAACAUGGCUUAUUUCUCCUCUCCCAUCACAAAAAGCAAGGUGAUACUUGGGUUAAGGCUGAGAAUUCUCAGGAGCCCCUUUCCCCUCCUGCAGUGAUCAGUUAGGAGAUCAGUGCUGGUUUCUAGGGACACCAUACACAACCCACAACAGCAGUUCCUCAGUUUGGGGCAGAAAAACUCCCUCUUGCAGACUCCUCAGCCCAGAAACAUUCAAGAUGUGCUAAAGGGGCAGCAGGGACACUGAUCCAAACCCUUCCUCAGAGCAAGGGCAGGGCAGGAGAGAACGAAAGCAACAGGUUUCUGGGCACCUGCCUCUGAUGUGACCUUCCCUGGGAGAGCAUGACCCCGGCAGCUCUGCCCUCCGGACGGGAAGAUGCCUCCCACCCCGGGAGGAAGGCACAGCUGGACUCCAACCAUCAAUCACGUUCCACCGGGAAGGGCUUGUAUGGCUUGUGGGAUUCCUGGUGGGGUGACUUUUUUUCAAAGCCUCCUGCAAUAACAGCAACCGUUGCUCAGCUUCCUUUCUAGAUAACCUUUUUCCUGCUGCCCAACAUGCUUAUCUGCUGCAGACAGGCUGGCAAGAUGAACCGGAAAGCUGAUACCUUAUCUCUGCCUCUCAAGGAGCCUAUUUAAGUGCUGGAAUGUGUUGAGAUGGUUAAUGAUUGUUAAAAUCCAAGUGAGGAACAUGGACCUCAGGACAGGUCCUGCUGGGAGGGAGCACUUAGUCAAAAAGGAGUCUUGAGGGACUACAGCCUUUCCAGGCUCUUCUUUUAUCUGCCAAAAGAUGCAUCACCUAAAAUGUAAAAUAUUUAUUUAAAACUAAAGGGUAUGGACUGAGUUUCUGGCUAAUCUGGGGGUUACCACUGCAGGCUGCUCCCAACUCAAUGAGGUUUGCUGUGUCCCUUGGAGAUGGUUUUAUCUGUUCCCAAUUUACUCACUGCAGGAAGUACACUGCCCUGCAAGGGAUGCAGUGUGUGAUUCCUCGCUCACCCUUUAAUCUGGCUGCUGGGGGAAGCAGCAAGAUGCUCACACAUUCAUAAAGGUAAAUAGGAUUGGAGAGCUAUCGGGCUAAUUGAAAUGAACGGGGCUCAGCGGCUCAGGCAGCCUGAUACAAUGAAAUGAGACCUCUCUGGGGACACAGGAGUCAAGCAUAGCUUCAGCACUUCACUUAUUUCAGCCACUGCAAGUGGCAGCUACAGCAACAGCAAUUGCAGGCACUGGAUUUGAGCACUGUGACAAGAGAGGGGCCAGGGAACACCGGCGUGGCCGGGGUGAUGUCUGUAACAGCUGCUGGGGGUGGGUGAGAGGCUUAUUUUGGUCCUGACCUGGGUGAAAAAAUAGCUGUUGGAGAUGUUGCCAGCCUGAAACACUGCCAGCAAGAGCCAGAGUGCUCUCCUUCCCGAUAGGCAACUGUGUUCCAGCACACCCAGGGGUGGGUAGGAUGGGGACAGGGGAGCAGGGCCAGACAAACCUUGACACUGAUGA